rnacentral:tRNA from 1 species
GGGCCCAUAGCUCAGUUGGUUAGAGCAGUGGACUCAUAAUCCAUUUGUCGCAGGUUCAAGUCCUGCUGGGCCCA